ACACCAUGGGAAUACAAUGUCACCACGGGAAAUACAGCUGCUUAGGUCCGACUGCUGCUGCGGGGUCCAACUCUGGUUUCCAAAAAGGGACAUGGCUGACCUCCAUUGAUGGAGCUCAGAAUCAUGGACUGCCACUAAAAUGUUGACAUCUCCACAGGAAAGUUAACACAAGAGAAGGACCAGCUGACCAGUCACACAUUUGUAAUCCAAUCCAUAUUAUUGAACAGCACAUACUUGGCAACUGUCACUCCAGUCCAGAUGUGUCUGCCUUGAAUCCACUGUGGAACUGGCAUACUGACUGCCGUACACUUCUUGCAUGAAUCACUGCUUCUCCUCUUUCUUCUGUUUGUAUUUGAAUGAAGAGCUGGCAUACAAGGAAUGAAAAAUAGUUCCAAACAUAAGGGGCAGCAUGGAAGAAGGUGCAGAGAUGAGAGAAGGGGAAGGAUACAAAGGGAGCAAGGUGGAUUGAUGUCUGAGCAGCAUAAAGCUCAAGAGAAUGGUAGAAGCAUAGAGAUGGAAACAGGAGAGGAGCUACGCAGAGCCCUCAAGAAUGUGCCCAGCACGUUCUUCAUUGCCAGCAAUGGAUGCACCAAAACUGCUGAUGCCAAAAAGAUCAUCCACAGCCAUGAUUUCCAUUAGAUUCCUACAAGCUUCCAGAAGUUUUCACCUGAUAUGACCUUCGGUAGCACUUGGGUCUUUAUAACGGAGAAUGUUCAAACUUUGUGUUAAUGUUCUGAUCCCUCCUGUGAGGCGGGGAAGUGCUAUCUAUUAUCUCCAUUUUACAUGUGGAGAACAGAGCUACAAAGAGGCUAAAUGGCUUGCCCCAGUUCACACAGGAACAACAGUCCAAUGAGGUAGGUAAGUAUUAUUACCCUGUGUGUGUGCGUGUUGGGCAUUUCUUUUUUUGUUGCUGUUUGGAUUGUGAGGGUGUUUUGUGACAACUGAGGAAGCUGAAGGAUGUUUAGGUGACUUCUUCAAGCUUUUUGACAGAGCUGGAAAUAGAACCCCAAACUCCUGAUUCCCAGUCUGUUGUUUUAACUGUUAGUCAACACUUCCUCUUCUUGCUUUGUGUGUUUUCUUUUCAUAUAUUUCACAUUCAUUCAGAUGUAUAUAUAUUUCUUUUUAAAAUGAGGAUAUUGUGGCUAUGGGGUUGGAUAAUUACGCAUGAUAUGAAAAAGUAGAAUGCUUAAUAUAUCAGGAUUUUUUUUUUUUUAAGUAAAACACCAGGGAAAUAAAAUUUAAAUACAGGUCAGCAACUGCCAGCCCAAAACAAAUUAUCAUAAUACACAUGUUGCAAAAUUUUCAUUCAUUUUUCUGAUUAUGCUUCAUAGGGCCAUUCUGCUGGUUUGGAAGUGAAGUCUACGUAUGCAUAUUAUUACCUUGAUAUUGCAGUGUACUUAGUAUUUCAUGUUUAAUCUCUGUAUGACUGUGCCUGGUGGGUGUGUGGAUGUGCAUCUCACAUACAUUGGCUAUAUAUAUAGAUCUCACACACACAUACUUUUUUUCAGAACUGGAAGUUUAAAUAUAUGGAACUGUUUAAAACACUAACAUGAUGCUCUUAUAUCUUUAAGUCUUAUAUUUCUAUAACUGUCGUGUUGUUUUGUGAAAACUAAUUUUACUGGGACUAUUUUAACUCUAGCAUGAUGUUUGCAGAAGACUGUGUUUCAAAGCUGACAAAUAUUUCCCCUCCAUAAAGAAAACAAAUAUUGUGCUGUAAUUUAUCUUUUUAACUAAGCUCUGUGGGUCUGUGUAGCAUGCAAAAAAAAAAAAAAAAAAGUGUUGUCCUUGUCACCUGCCACUUUUCCAGCCAACUUGACACCCCCGGGCUUCCCAACAGCUCUUUCCAGCAGGAGCUGUCUCAGAGCUCUUAGCACCACCAAAUAAUUGAGGUUGUCACAUCUCUUGUUCAUUGUUUUUCCAGCCCAGGAAAAAAUGCAAAUAUUUCAUUGUAGUCAUUAAUUUUCCCAUCCUUUUCUUCAAGCAUCUCAUUGGUUUGAUCUGAUGAAAAGGGCUGAAGGCAUUAUUGCAAGCGCAGUGGCAUCCAGGUUCUGCCUAUAGUGGGGAAGAAUCUCAUCAGAUAAAGUCUCAGGGAGGUCAUCAAUCACAGUUGCUGACAACCAUUUUGCCUUCGUUUGUUACAGAUGUGAACAUGCUUAAUUAUUUGUAGUGUAAUUAGUUCAUGAAAUGUCAGGAAAUGUCAAACUGUGUUCACAGCACAGAUUUUUGCAGCAAAGAGGAAUGAGAGCAAGUGUCAAUGGGAGAUGAGGAGGACUGAUGGGGGAGCUGCAUCUGCAGGCAAAUAAGGCAAAUAGCUUGGGGGACAAAGGAGGGUUAAAAAUAUUAAGAUGAGAAGUUUGGAGAGGGAUCCUUUCAAGAGAUCCAGGUAACCACUAUGUGAAAUGUGAAUGACAUCACAGCUUUUCCAGUGGGUGUAUGGAAGGUAUGUCUUCAUUUUUAACAUGUUUGUUUUUGUAAACUUCGACGUUUUAUAUCAGCUCUCAAGGGGCAAUUUCAGCAAAAGUCACCUGCAAUGUAGGUUCAUUCCAGAAAUAUUAAAAACACACCAGAUAGGAUAGAGAAACAUUCUAGUAAAAGGGGACUCCUCCCCAGUACAUUUCUUAGCAAUAAAAUUAAAAAAUCAGUAAUCGGUGCCACGAUGAUUGAGAAAUCAUCUGAAAAAGAGAAUAUGCAUAUUUUCUAAAACUACUGAAAUGUUGGUUCAACAGCACUUGUGUAUUAGUCUUGCAGGUAUGGCAAGUCAAAGUAUCUACACAAAUGAUAGCAUCCCCAUGCUUAUACCCCAAGUACAGAGGUGUCCUGAGUUAUAUGUUUCCCAGUAGGCUCUUGGAAGUAAUUUUUUUGCAAAGGGGAAGGGGAGUUUAAUAAAUGAGCCAGAUAUGUAAUCCAACAUCAAAUUAGCCAGCAAAUUCUUCUGGUUCAGUGGUUGGAUCUAGCUCAAGCACUCAUUGUGUGGGAGCGAUAGUAUUUCACCAGGUGUCAUUAAGCAGGUUUCGAGCUUAGGCACAGAUAAUGGAAAGAAACUAUUAUGGUUCAAUGUAAAUGUGUAUCUUGGCUAGCACAAGGCACGAAUUAAUGACUAUAUCAAAAAUAUCAUACUUUAAAAAUCAACAUAUCUGCAUACAAUAACUUUGAGCUGGCUUCUACGAGGAAUACUUCUGAGAAGCCUGAUGACAGUAAGUUGAUUGACAUCUUAAAAAAAACCCCUUUGAUUGACAAUCUGCUUUUGAAUUCCUAGACGGCACUCCACUGGGCAGCGAAGCACGGCAAUCUUGAGAUGGCAGAGAUGGUCGCCAAAGCAGGCGUCGAUGUCAAUGCU